GGCUGCAGGGCCGGGGCGAGGGCCGCUCUCGCACCGCAGCCCCGGCCCCGCUGCCCGCACACGCAUGCACGGCAGCACCCGGCGCUUCCCCGCCCCGCAAGUUACUUGGGCGCUGCGGGCACCCCCUGCCCCGCGCAAGCAGCGGGGCCGCGUUGAUUCUGUGGUGAUCCCCCACCGCCGCCCUAUGCGUACAAAGGAAACUCCGGUAGCAUCCUCUGGUAUUAGCCCCUAACUGUGCCGUUCUGGAGCUCUGUAACAGGAUGGAAAUGCUGUGGCACAACAAUAAUGCUGACAGAAGAGAAGAGAGGAAGGACCAGUGGUGUCAGUGGAAACAGGGGAUGAACACCUCUCACCACUUCCAUCCUCUGAUGUAAACUUGUAUACCACAGCUAUCUCUCAAAGUGGAAGGCUAAGGAAAGGGGACGAGGACAAGGGCAGUGCAGCAGCAAGGAAGAUCGUUCCAGGAGAUCGCCCGCAGUGCUCAGUCCCAGCGCGGCAGAGCUCGGCUGGCCGGGCGAGCCCCGGCUGACGGCGGCCGGUGCGCCAGCCGGAGCCUUGGCUCCCGCCGUGCCAGCAAAGCGCAGCCACAGGAGCCGGGAAGGCGGGACAACACAGCGAUCCAACUAUCCAGCGAUCCAGCGAUCCAGCGAUCCAGCAGCUCCCGUGCUUUGCCAGCGAGCCCCGGGUGCUCCGGGACUGCCCCACAACAGGCGUGGCGGGAGCCCCGCCCUGGCAGCGCGGAGCGGGGCAGGGCAGGGCGGGCUGUGACUCUCAGGGCCUGGCUGAGAGCGUCGGGAGUGGCCGUCGGAGGGAAAGCGCGGGCUGGCCCUGAGAGCGAGGCGCAAAGAAACUUUGGAGACCUUCAGUACUACGCAAGGAUAAUGGACUUCUAUCAAUUUCUGGUUAUUUUGAAGAAAACUUGAAAACAUUGGGAAAAACCUUCAAGGACUGUAAGACAACAGCCAUUACCAAAACAAACCGAUGUGGAUGAACAUUUCAACCACAGUUUCUCCACUUAAGAGGAAACCAGUAUCUCAGACUGUAAAGAAUCAAACAGGUGAUUUUCAUGACUGAUAAAAGUUUAAUUAUCUACCAAUAAAUGUUUACCACAGCUGAGAACAGGUAGUUUAGUUUUAAACAACAAAAGCCUGACAAAACCUUUCUAACAACACAGUGGACAAAAUCAAUCCACCAUGUAAAAAGAAAGAGGCUCUCCUCUAUCUGUAUAUUUUCAAUUAAGCUCCAAAUCAUAGUGAAGUAGGGCGGAGGUCUGUGCCUCUGCACACACAGGGAUUUUGUUCAUUGUGAUUGUUACAGCAUGUUUUAUUAAAAACCUGAAUGAAGAUUUGUUUCCCUGAAGCUCUAGCUUGCUAACAGCUCUGGGAGAAGGAUGAAUGACAGCGUCAAGCCUCAUCAGCCCAGAAAUGAAGAAUGCCAACAACUUGUCUAACCUGUAGAUCAGAGGUUGCAGGAUUCACUUGAAUUAAUACAAUUUGAAUCGGAGCAUUUCUUUAAAACAACAAUCUGACCAACUUAAGCAACUUUCAAGGAUGGGGAACCAAAGCCAACCCACUGCAACAUUUCGAAAGUUGCUCUACUGGUCAGUCACCUUCACUGUCAAAAUAUUUGUACAGAUUUUCUUGUUCCUCCAUUAUAAUUUAUUUCUUACUGCCUAUUUUUAAAGGUCUGAAGUUAUUUUGGGCCCAUAGGUGUACCAACCCAAUACCGCUUCACUUUCAGUCUCUGUUUCACACUCUGAAAAACCUCCUAACCAAGGAAUCUUGCAUCACUGCUAUGUUUUGUGCAGAAACUAGGUGCAAAUUCAAACCCAACAUUUAACAUGAGAAAACAUCAGGCCAAGCAGGAAAGAGCAAAGAAUUACAAAGUCGAGUUUGGCCAGAGGGGAAAGGAGAGACAGAGAAACAAUCAAGAUAAGCUGUGGGGUUUAGGGAGAAAAAAAAGCCACACACAAACACUCCCCACCCCAGUUCCCAGAAAAAACAGUGUUUGCAUCUGGUGAAUGCUAUUUCCCCUUCUGCCUUCCACAGGUAGCAGCCACAGCAAGUCACUGCUCAGGUGCUCCCAGAGUCUCUGCGCUCACUCGUACUCACCAUCACGCACCGUCAGCACUCGCUGUGCCGGGCACAAACACUGCCACAGACAGAUUGCUCUGGACAGUAAAAACUAAAGAGUGGCUACAGGCUGCAGCUGCAAAGCCUGUUUCUGUGACCUCUCCCUCCCUAGUGUUUACAUGGGAAGGAUGGAAUGCCAUAGAGCAUACCCUCUGAUGCGGAGUUGACUGAAACAGCUUUGCAAAACCAGUCUAAAAACAUGUCUUUCCCAUGUUUUUUGGGAGCUGCAGCUAUUUAAAUUAUCUUCUUGAAAUAUUAAACUCCUCACUUCCUCAUUUUAGCAUUAAAAACAAAACAGCAACAAAACGACUGGGAAAAACAUCCUUGACAUGCAAUGUCCCAUGUCUGACCCAUCCGACUCCCGCUUGGAGCAGGGAUCCAGUACUGACACUCAUCCCCACACACAAACAGGGAACCCAAGAAGAUGAGGGACAGCAAAAAACAUCUGAAACUCUAGCCAAACAACGGUACUUGUGGUACAAAGGAAGAGGACACAGGGGGGAACCAGCAGAGUUCAGGAUGAAGGAUUAGCCUGAGAUAGUACAAGGGCAAGGUCUUCUUCCCCCCUCCCCCCCCCCCCAGGUGUUUCUCUGGGGAAUCACACCACACCUGUCCCUGGGAUCAAUUCUUACCUUAUCACAUUAACUUAAAUAGAGUUAUCCUGACUUGCGCCAAUGGGAGAUUGGAAUACAGCUCUUCAAAAUAAGUUCUAUUUUAUGUUUUCUUGUGUUGUGUUAAUGCCAAUAAAGAGGAAAUACUUUGCUCUCAGA